rnacentral:lncRNA from 12 species
AGCAGAGGACUGGCAGGGUGGUCUGGGCGGGUUGGGUAUCCUCAAGGCCUGGCUGGAGAGGAAGUCCAGUGGGAGGCUUGCUGGGGAGGAGGACAGCCUGCAGAAGGAGGCCCUUCUGGGAUAAGGCCCACGUCGACACUGCGCCUGGCACGGGGCUGGCAGGGAGAGUGACAGGGAGAAAGUCUCGGCUGGGAGCCACCCAGAGGGGAGCCGACAGGCUUUCUGCUGUGGGAGGCAGGGGGCUGGAAGCUGAUCAGUCAGCAAUGGGAAUGGAGAGGCCCGAGGGGAGUCCAGAGGACUUCAGGGUGGUGGUGUCUAGUGGGCAGCCGGUGGCAGGUAUCUGGGGGACAGCAGAAAGGUCAGGGCUGUGGGUGCUUACCCAGAGGCCAUAAGCACAGAGGCAACCCUGGCCCAGGUGAGCCCUUGAGAGGCAGCCCCUCUGGCCGGGGGAGGCACCUAGCCAGAAAAACAGGAGCAGCUUGCGGAGGCCCAUGGUAGGAGGUCACUUCUAAAAAAUACUUGAUACUUGAAGUGGUCAUACGCAGCACUCCAACUUUGUGCAAUGGGCUGGUGAUUUCUCAUUGUUCUGUGACUUUGGUUUUGGUUUUGUAAUGAGUGUUCUUGAAGCGCAGCACAAUGAAACCCCAAAGCCCUCUUGAAGUAGCAGAAUGGAAAAUAAGACACUUAAGAGGCAGCUAUCUUUACAUCUGGAGGGCCCAGUAUUUCUCUCAGAGUUGUAGACUGACCUUGACCUUGGGGUGUCUCCCCCACCUGCACCUGGGCCUUCCUGACACCCGGGAGGGAGCCACACCUGGGUGGAGAUGUUCCAUGAAGAUCUGGCAGUCACCGUGGUCCCUGGCGAGUCAGCGAGCACUCUGUGGUCUGCAUCCCCUGCGGUAUCGUUGAGAAGUGCCAAGGAUGCUGUUGAGGGAGUUGGCUGCGUGUCUUUUCAUACAAGGUCCCAGGCAAGUAUGUCCCAUGAGGGAGAAAGCAUGAAGGGGGAGAAGGGGAAGGCAGGGCUGCCCAGGUAAGUAGAGCCAGGGCCCAGGCAGGAGGCUUCCCCGCAGGGAGCCGGGUAGCCCUGAGAGGGGGAGAGAGGCCAGGGCCAGCUGGCUCAGGGAGAGGAGGAGCAUAAGGGUGGGCAGGGGAGGCUAAUCUGAGGGCAGGCCGACACUCAGGUGGGCAGAGAGCCUAGGCUGCUCUGCAGUGGGACUCAGGAACCAGGAACAGGAUGCCAGAAAGGACGGCGGGGAUGGAGGCCUCUUUCCUGAGAAGAAACAAUGGCCAUUCUUCCAUUGAAGGCUGACUGGUGAGAGAGGAAAAGCCUCCUGGUGCAGGGGAGGGGGCAUCUGAAGGAAUGGAG